CUUUACUGCAUUUUGACAUUGAAUUUUUCUUUUAUUUGCGCAGAAUAAGUGGGAAACGUUGAUUUUAUUUUUUCGGAAAUAAAGGAGUUGAUCGUGAGAUACCACUCUAAUAAAAUAAAAAUUCUAAUUUCAUAUCGUGAUCCGAAUGAAAAACAGUAUCAAAAAGACAGUUUGACUGGGGCGGUCGCCUGCUAAAAAGUGACGCAGGCGUACAAAGGUUUCCUCAAAUCGUUUAGAAAGCGAUUGGAGAGCGUAAAGGCAUAAGGAAGCUUAACUGUGAGACCUACAAGUCGAACAGAGACGAAAGUCGGUCUUAGUGAUCUGACGUUGCUGUAUGGAAAGGGCGUCACUUAACGGAUAAAAGUUA
rnacentral:rRNA from 1 species